GACGAACGCUGGCGGCGUGCCUAAUACAUGCAAGUCGAACGCAGUGGGGACGGGUGAGUAACACGUUGGUAACCUCCCAUCAGAGGGGAUAACACUUGGAAACAGGUGCUAAACCGUUACUUAUGGAUGGACCCGCGGUGCAUUAGCUAGUUGGUGGGGUAACGGCUCACCAAGGCCAGAAUGCGUAGCGGACCUGAGGGGUGGACCGGCAACAUUGGGACUGAGACACGGCCCAGGCUCCUAGGGGAGGCAGCAGUAGGGAACCUUCGGCAAUGGACGAAAGCCUGACCGAGCAAGGCCGCGGGAGUGAAGAAGGUUUUCGGUUCGUAAAACUCUGUUGUUAGAGAAGCGGUAUCUAAACAGAAAGCCACGGCUAACUACGUGCCAGCAGCCGCGGUAAUUC
rnacentral:rRNA from 1 species